UCAACUCGGGCGCAUUAUUUACGCCGGCCGGAUAUCUCCGUCUCUUUCUAUAAACACGACUGCGAAUCACAAUGAAAACAAUAUAAAGAAAAGUCGCUCUGACAAACAUGUUAUAUCACUAUUUUUGUAAAAACAAAAAACCUUAUAAAAAUAUAAGGGCAUUGAACCCUUCAAUUCAAGUUAUAAUGGCGGGCACUUUAACAAAAAAAAAAGUUUUUUUUUUAAUCUUACAUUUUCGGCGAACAAUACGAAAGAAGAGUUUUAAGGAUAAUCAUGUUCCAGGAAUUCCGGCAUACGUGACACCGAGCAAGUACGUAAACCAAUUAAUUAAUAAUUAAUGCAAAUAUACCAAAAUAAAUACGAACAAAGUUGAUUUUUCUAUAAAAGCUUAUUUUAUUCGUUUUUUUAAACUAUUAUUUAUUUAGAUGUUUAGCUCUAUCGAGAUGUACUUGUUAGUUCUAUGGUAGUCCAUGGUAUUCAGAACAUCUUCUGCCACAGCAACACACACAUAUUGACUUGAUUGGUAUACUUCAAUGUUAUUUUCUAUCCAUCUACAAUUUACUAUUCUAUGUUUUUUUAUGAGGUUGACGCUCUUAAAUCUACAAUGGGAACGUCUCGGUCGUUUUCAAUUGUGGCCAAUUUAUACACGAUUAGCUUCUGACAAAGGCUACAUACGUUCAGAUAAGAUGAAAAAUUGACGUUUAUAAAAUAAGCAGUGAUAAUGUUGAACUUCAAAUUCGAAAUGUUAGGCAUGAGGAAUUUAACUUUAAAAAAUUCUCAGUUAUCAUGAAAUGAAAGCAAUUUUUUCUUUCAGAUUUCCAAAUAUUUUUAAUAGAUUCAGAAAUUGAAAAAUAUAUGUUUGUUAUAUUUAUUUAUGGCAAUAUUCAAGCAUUUACAUAUUCUACUAGAAAGUACUAGGGGAAACUAGAGGUUAUCAUCGUUUGUCUCAUAGAGAAAACUGGAAUAUUUUCUUAGUCUUUAAUUCUUAAUUAUGACAGUCAAAAAUUAAAUAAUAAUAAUAAUUAUUAUUAUUUAUUUAUUUCUCUCUUAAAGGUAUAGUACAAAUACAAAUGGAAAUUAACCUUGUAAUUUAUUUUGUAAGCCUAAAUCAAAUGAAAUUUUUAUUAUUUUAGUUUCAAUAAGGGCAAAAUAUAGACGAAGACACAAACAGAAUAGACACCGUUCAGAGAUGUCAAUUUACAAAGAAUUUCCAGUUAAUUGUCUUGAACAUAUAGACACAAUGGUAAUACCAAAUUUAAUGGUCAGAAUUUUUACGGUAUAAGAUUUAAACAAAGAUUAUAUUUUAGAACACAAGUAUCAUACCCGAUGCUUAAUCAUAUGACGAAAAUAACUCAUCAGGAAGUUGAAUAGUUAAUGCGGACGCUACAGACCAAAAUAGAAGUGGUAGAAUUACUCUAAAAGUUCAGGUUUUUUCAAGACCGCCUCCAAUGACAAAUGUUUCAUGAAACCAGUCCAGCUUUUUAUAAGCAUGUAAAAAGCGAUAUGCUUUUUUUUAAUCCUCACAUUCGACAAGAAUGUGUACUAGGAAGCUAUAUAAGUGAAGAGGUUGAAUCUUUAGCUACAGUUGACUAAAUUAAAAUGUAAUUAAGCCAAUACAGAAUAACCAGUCAGUAGGAACAAUGGAAUUAUUUGUUUGUUAUAUUAUUAUUUAUUAAAAUGGCUAUUAUGUUUUAUGAAAAUUGAAUUGAAAUAUUUUUGUAAAUAUAUUCAUGUGAAGACACUUUUCUUACAAUUUCGUCACAGUUGUUAAACAAUGCAUAAUGUUUAGUUUAAUUUUAGGUAGACAAUUAUUAUUAAUACCCAGGUUUUGGAUUUUAAUUUUUAAAUUGAAAGUCACUGGUUGUCUUGAGAAAAUUACAUUACUAAUAAUUACCAAUUUGUUAUGUUUUAGAAAAGGAUGAUUUUAAUAUAUCAAUCACACUUUUGGUUUUUUUUUCUGAGGAAACUUUCUCAUUCCGAAAGUGCAAGUACCAGGCAGCCAUAUAAGUGAAGAGGUACCUACGCAUUUUUAGUUACGGUAAAAGCUGACUAAAUAGGAAUAUGAUUAAGCCAUAUCUUUUUCAUUAGGAUUAUGGUAUUUUCAUAUAGCCGGUUAACAUCAGACGAAUCACGUACGCAGAUUGUGACGCACUAUCGCGUGUUUUCGAUUUUGCUGACCUCGACAGUUCAACAGGCUAUAUGACGCCAUUUCGCGAAAUCAAAACAACAGCUGUUAGAAAAAAAAACAAAAGCAAACUCCCAAAAAUUGCGUUUUAUGUAAUAAAUGAGACGUAAAAGAAACCUGUUUGUAAAGUUGGACGCCACAUACUCAAUGUUUAUUUACAACACUCACCGCUCAAGUCUUCGAUUGUGUUCAGUUUUCUCGACGCCAUCGCGCGGAAAUAAGUCGUGGUACUAGAAAAUUACUUAUAAACGUAUUUUUAAUAAUAUACGCUGUGUUCAACCGGGCUUCUUCGCUUUUAAAAUGCGAAAACAAAGAAAGAACGGACUGAAUCAACACCGAAUGCAACCUUCUUUGUUUGUGUUUUGUGUUGUUUUGAUUGGAACUGACAGUUGUGGAUAGUGUGGCAUAAUCAGUUCAGAUACGAUAUGCGAUAUGAUUAAAUUUGUUAAUCGAUUAAAGUUCGAUUUCAGACGCCUUAACAGAUUUUAUUUCAAAAUUGUGCAAUUUAAAAAAAUGUUGUUUUUCGAAUGAUUUCAUUUUCAUUUGUAUAUAAUAUGUUGAACCUAAUAAAUUUAAUGUCUUCGAUUUUUUCA